CUAUUUAUUGAAUAAAUAUUUAUUUUCAUUAAAUACAAAAAUUUACGAAUUUAUUUCAAAUCGUGACUACUUAAUUCGUUUAAUCAGUGACUUCGGUAAUAGUUAUAUUCGAUGUUAUGCCUCUGAGGACGGUAUUACUGUGACAAUUAGUCGAUGGUUACAAAAGUAUUAUUGGACAUAACAUUAUCAAGAUAUCUAAUAAAUACAGCAUCUAUUGUUGUUCCGUAUCUGGUGAAUGUCCAAAUCUUGCUGCCAUCAGAACCAGAACUAAUCUUCCCAAGGACUUCAAUGAAUGUCUCAGCUCGAAAAGUGGAUGCUACAGGACGUUACUGUUCCUCAAAGAAGCUAAAUUAUUUAAUGACAUCUAAAAUUAUUAUUGUUGUGUAGUAUGUUAAUUUGUACUUCUCUAUUGUGGUCGUCAAUAACCUUGUAGUUACAAGGCGACCUUAAAUAAAUAAA